rnacentral:rRNA from 1 species
CGGUCUCGAAGUAUAGGUUUUGAGUUCCUGGCUACGAGGACACGCUGGCGGCUGCCUAACACAUGCAAGUCGACGAAAGCUUGACGAAUGAUUUUCUUCGGAAUGAAAUCUGAUAUGACUGAUGGCGACGGGUGAGUAACGCGUGAGCAACCUGCCUUCGGAGGGGGAUAGUGUCUGGAAACGGACAGUAAUACCGCAUAACGAUUUUUUACCGCAUGAUAGAAAUACCAAAACUGAGGUGCCGAAGGAUGGGCUCGCGUUGGAUUAGAUAGUUGGUGGGGUAACGGCCUACCAAGUCGACGAUCCAUAGCCGGACUGAGAGGUUGAACGGCCACAUUGGGACUGAGACACGGCCCAGACUCCUACGGGAGGCAGCAGUGGGGAAUAUUGCACAAUGGGGGAAACCCUGAUGCAGCAACGCCGCGUGAAGGAAGACGGUUUUCGGAUUGUAAACUUCUGUCCUUAGUGAAGAAUAAUGACGGUAGCUAAGGAGCAAGCCACGGCUAACUACGUG